rnacentral:rRNA from 1 species
CCAGACUCCUACGGGAGGCAGCAGUGGGGAAUAUUGCGCAAUGGGCGAAAGCCUGACGCAGCGACGCCGCGUGAGGGAUGAAGGUCUUCGGAUCGUAAACCUCUGUCAGCAGGGAAGAACGGUCACUGUGCUAAUCAGCAGUGAAUUGACGGUACCUGCAAAGGAAGCACCGGCUAACUACGUGCCAGCAGCCGCGGUAAUACGUAGGGGGCAAGCGUUAUCCGGAUUUACUGGGUGUAAAGGGAGCGUAGACGGUUAUGCAAGUCUGGAGUGAAAGGCGGGGGCUCAACCCCCGGACUGCUCUGGAAACUGUAGAACUAGAGUGCAGGAGGGGUAAGUGGAAUUCCUAGUGUAGCGGUGAAAUGCGUAGAUAUUAGGAGGAACACCAGUGGCGAAGGCGGCUUACUGGACUGUAACUGACGUUGAGGCUCGAAAGCGUGGGGAGCAAACAGGAUUAGAUACCCGCGUA